GAUGAAGAACGUAGCGAAAUGCGAUACGUAAUGUGAAUUGCAGAAUUCAGUGAAUCAUCGAGUCUUUGAACGCACAUUGCGCCCCAUGGUAUUCCGGGGGGCAUGCCUGUCCGAGCGUCAUUGCUGCCCUCAAGCACGGCUUGUGUGUUGGGCCUCCGUCCUCCUCCCGGGGGACGGGCCCGAAAGGCAGCGGCGGCACCGCGUCCGGUCCUCGAGCGUAUGGGGCUUCGUCACCCGCUCUUGUAGGCCCGGCCGGCGCUUGCCGACACAUCAAUCUUUUUUCCAGGUUGACCUCGGAUCAGGUAGGGAUACCCGCUGAACUUAAGCAUAUCAUAAGCGGAGGA
rnacentral:misc_RNA from 1 species